AAUCAACGCUGGCGGCGUGCCUAACACAUGCAAGUCGAACGAGAAAGUGGAGCAAUCCAUGAGUAAAGUGGCGACCGGGUGAGUAACACGUGACUAACCUACCUUCAAGUGGGGAGUAACCUCGGGAAACCGGGGCUAAUACCGCAUAAAAUACUUUGGGAUGAGAAGCCGAAGAUCAAAGGAAGCAAUUCGCUGGAAGGA
rnacentral:rRNA from 1 species